rnacentral:lncRNA from 1 species
CAAUAAACAGUAACAGAACCUACCUUCUGGGAUGGUUGUUUUGAGGAUUACAUGAGCUAAUACAUGCACAGUUCUGUUUGGAAGAGGGCCUGUCAUAUGGACUCCAUAAAUGUUGUGGGGUGGGAAGACAUCGUGUGGUUUUUGUUGUUUUUUCCAUGAUCAUUAUUAUGACAUCCUGGUCUUAUUUCAUGGUUGUGGUAUCUUAGUUUUUCUCUCUGAAGAUUUAGUUCUUUGUUUCCUUCUGCUUUCUGCAUAGGCUGUUUUUUCAGAAUUCCUUUGUUUCUCUUUGUUGUGGUCUAUUUUUUCAUGUUAGGACCUUUCCUCAAAUGUCUGAUGAUCUUUGUCUCUGUGUUGAUAUUGAAGAGUGAGACACUAAAGAGAUGAGAGAGGUUUAAUAACCAGCCUUCAAGAUGGCCCCCAGUGAUUCUCACCUGCUGGUAUUUGCACCUCCUGCGUAGUUCCCUCCUACAUUGACUAGAGCAGCCUGUGUCACCAAUACAUUGCAGAAAUGAUGGAGAGUGACUUCCAGGGCUAGAUCAUAAAAGACAUUUCAGCUUUCACCUUACUGUUUGAGACCAUUUGCUGUGGGUGAGGUUGGCGGCCAUGUUGUAAGGAUACUCAAGCAGUCCUGUGGUGAAGUCCAUGUGGUGGAGAACUGAGGUCUCUUGCCAGGCAUUGGUGCUAACUUGCCAGGUAUGGGAGUGAGCCAUCUUGGAGGAAGAUCCUCCAGCCCCCGUCAAGCCUUUAGAUGACUACAGCUCCAGGCAGCAUCUUGACUGAAACCUCACAAGAAACCCUGAGCCAGAACCACCCAGCUAAGCCAUUCCAGAACUCUUGACCUACAGAAACUGUGAGUGCAGGUGGUGACUUGGAAAAAGGAGAGGAGGAGGAGGUCUACACCAGCCCUUUGAGGAGGACCCGUGUGAGAUAACUGAAAGGAGAAGCCUGAGCAGAUGCUAAGAACAAAGAUUACGUAAUGGACUGCCUCAGGUCCGCUGCUGAAUUUGCAAACCAGAAGAGGAGACUUAAAUACAAAAAGGGACUCCACCCUGCUGAGUCAGCUGCCUUCAGACUGCCUUUCUGGAAGUCCCACAGAAUUCAUCUUAUGGGCCAGAAGGAAGUCACAUGGACACAUCCAUGUGUCCAUGGAGUGGCAAGGGAGGCUGGGAAGCCAGUAUUUUAUUCUUGAUCACAAUGUGCCCGGCUAAAACUAGGGGCAAGUAAGGAGGAAGUAGGAGGAAGUAGAGAAGGAGUAGUGCGGUGGCAACCAGCCAUCCCUGUAUUUGGCAAGAUGUGAAGAUUAUGACUGGCCGUGGAACGACAUCUGGGCUGAAGUUGUUGUAGGCUUUCAAGAGAAUGCCUGCUUUGUCUAGGCUUUUCCUGAGUCAGGGGACAAUCCUAAGGGCUGGAGUAGCCGAGUUCUGCAGACCAAAAUAUGUUCCUAUUAUGAUGGCCACAGGAGUUCAGCAAUACCCAAACUAAUUUACUCCUUGUUGGAGAAGACUAGUCCUCUUAGCACACGCUGGGAUGUUACAAGGUCACCUGCUUUCUGGAGGCCCGAAGCCCCAAAUCAACGUGUCCCGGGGCCGCACUCCCUCCACAGGCUCUGGGGGGCUCCUCCUCUGCCCCCCAGCUUCACGCGAUGCCGGCAUCCUGGGCUUCCGUAGCCUCCUCGGCUGUGGACACCUCUCUCUGCCGCGUCUUCAUAUCGCCUCCUCCCCCGUGUCUUCUUCUGUCUCCUAUAAGGACACUUAUCAUUGGAUUUAAGGCCUACUGGGUAAUCCAGGAUGAUCUCAUCUCCAGAUCCUUAAUUUAUAAUUGGAUCUGCAAAGACCCUUUUUCCCAAUAAGGUGACAUUCACAGUUCCAGGGUUUUGAACGUGACAUAUCUUUUGGGGAGCCACCAUUCAACCCGUUAUACUCAUGAAUGAAGUCACCAGCAGGACGGUAAAGUUAAUUGAAAGGGAAGUUUGAG